CAUAUACUUCCUCCGUCCAACAAAGUAUGUCUCAAGUUUGUCAAAAUUUGGAUGUAUCUAGACAUGACUUAGUGUAUAGAUGCAUUCAAAUUUGGUCAAAGUUGAGACAUCUUUUGUUGGACAGAGGGAGUAUCAC
rfam:Brachypodium distachyon strain Bd21 chromosome 4, whole genome shotgun sequence.